UGAGAGAACUGUAUCUGUAGCUAAUCCGUCGCUGAUGACCACACAGUAGAACAAAUAUGGUAAAAUAUCUAGUCGCUUCUAAAACAGUAGAACACACACGAGAGAGCAAAAUUAGCUGGGAAAUAAACUUGGUAAGGGAUUUCAAGAACAAGAGCAAAACCGGUAGCCGGCGUGAAUCUAAGGUACAUAUAUGUUUAGAGGUCAUGUGGGCGCAGAGGUCGCGGGGACUUACAGUGAGCUACAUUCUAUGUAUGAACUGCAGCAUACAGAGUCCCCAUCGGAGUUAUUUUCAUUCUCCUAUCUAAUUUAAAUUCUAGACAGGUGUUGUAUGUUAUCAUAUUUCCUUGUUGAUGCUCAUGCACUUGUGACACUGGGUCUUGGGGUUCCUACUGGAUGUUUAGUAUGGUAGUUCAUGUAAUUA